GAAAACAAACUGAUAAAGCCAACGACAACAAUACUGUUAUAUCAUAGCUUCAGCUCUGUUGCUCUAUGUGCUACAAAUUACAAUGACAGUAUUACACUAAUCAGUAUAGUGUACACACUUACCAAUAUUAAAAUUUCCUUGAAGCUUUGAAAGUGUUUUGUUUUUUAUGUUUAACUGUUUAAGUUAUAACAUGGUUCGUACUCGUAUUUUUAUUAUUAUUACGUAUUAAAUUAUUAUUAUUUUCUUUUUAAUACAUGUAGUACCUAGUGACAGUUUAUAAUAAACGUGCUAUACUGCUAUUAAAACAAUACUAAAAUAUCAAAAAUAAUUCGCAAUAUAAUGUCUGAUAAAAAAAAAAUGUUUGAGUGGAUACCAAAAACGAAAAAAGAAGAAGGAUAUUCAAGAGAAAAUGUCAAAAAUACCGAAAAUCAACGCAUUUUUUUCUACAACUCCUGCUGUUGUUCCUAGAAUAGCUGAUGAACCUCAAGCUUCAGAAUUAAAUGAAUUACCUACACCAGUCAUCAGAGAUUCAAAUCAAUGAAAAAACUGUUGAUAAUUUGAAUACAGAAGGGAAGUCAAGUUCGUUGUCAUGGAUUUCGAAUUUACCAAUAUGAGGAGAACAGACAUUGUACUAAUAUCAGGAGCAAUCUCAAACAGCCUAAACAAAUGUAAAAUUCGUAAGCUCGAGGGGAAACCGCUUCUCCUGCCACUCCACGAACAGAUGAGAGUUAUGACUGUUCGUGAAACACAGUUGGCAGAGAAAUCGAUAAGGCGGAUUUUUCACAACAAAAAGGAAGUGGAGACGACCUGUUUAGCGCAACUUAGCAAAAGUCUGAAUUCGAAAUUAAAUAACCUAACACCAGAAUUCAUAAAAAAUUAUAUUUUGCGUGGAGAUAAGAUAAAUGUAGUGGUAUUGUUUGGGGGAUCAUACGAUAGGAAUAUUUUAAGUAGACUAGGGUUAGGACACAUAGAAGUUCUAAAUAUCAGAUGCUAUGAUUUGAAUUUCGAUGGGGACUUCUACAUGAUAUUAGAAAAAUUGAGGGGAAAAAUAACUGAAAGAAUUUUCGAAUUUAAUGUAGGUAGAAUCCAGAAAAGGGGUAGGCUAUUGAAUUUAACGGAAUCGCAUAGCGGCGUAUGUACACAAAAACAUAAAAUAACAUACGCUCACGACCCAAAGACUGAUGUGAGAUUUACAAAAUGCAUAUUCAACAGAAUGGUUAAGGAAUAUGGGUACCAAAAUUUGGUGAAACAAUUCCAACCUAUAUAGACAAUACCACGCACCUAGCACCACGUUGUAAAAAUAUAAUUUUUUGCGAAUUUAUAAAUUUUAUUAUAGCAAAUAACAAAGUAGCUUAAUUAACACACUAAAGUAAAUAUAUAUAGAAAAAAAAAAAGUAACGCUAGAUAUUAAUAAUUAACUAAUAGAAUACCACAAAUAGUAAUUUUAAUUGCAUUAAUUUCAGGAAAAAAAAAAGAGAGAAAGAAAUAACAUUAGGAAUCGGGCGGUAAAUAAUAGGGGCAUAUUUUGUCUAUUUUAUUGGAGACUGACAAAUGGUGCACUAUUAUGCACCGAACGGUUUGACCACUUAAGGGAAAAUGUUGGAAUUUGAUCGUUUGGUGAUUGGUUGGGAAAAUCGUGUGAAUAGCAGAUUUUUUUGACGGGGUCACCAAGGGACCAAAUGGCCAUAGUAGCUCACAAUAAGAAAUUACAAAAUCUUAUUAGUUUAGCCAGUGUCGCGGGAGGAUGCUUUGAUUUGCAGCACACUCUGGCGACACGGGUUCAAUUAGCAAGAUGAGAUCAUUACGAAAAUAGAAUAGAAUAGAAUCGAUUUAAUACUAGUCUUGAUCAUGUAAUAAAACUUGAAUACAAUAGUUUAUUGUUGGUCUGGACCUGUAGUAAAAAAAUACAAUCUAAUUACAGUAUAGGGAUAGUAAUAUUAACUAGGCAUAAAAUAUAAUGAUAUAGCGAUUAAUGGAAAAUAUAUAUAUAGAAGCAAACGUAAAUGUAGAAUGAAAAAAAAAAAAAGUUAGGAACAUAUUAGCAUAUAUUGGCGUAAUUAACAUGGUGAUGGAAUAAGAAAUAUAUUAAUCUAAUUUAUUUAAAACAUAAUUAACAUGGUAAUGGAAAAUAAAAUAUAGUAAACACCACUAUUUUAUCAUAUAUAUAUAUAUAUUGCACGAAAAAAAAAAUAUAUUGUAAUAGAUUUUAAGAAUUCAUGUUAUAUUAAAAUAUUAUUACACAUAUUAUAUUAACACUAAGAUAAGAUUAUUGAUGUAAACAAAAACACAAAAAAAAAAAGAAUAUAUUGUUAAUCACAUAAGAUACUAACCUAGAUAAUAAGCAAAAUAUAUACUGUAAUAUUGUGAAUCAUAAUCUGUAUUCUGUCAAUAAUAAUUAAUAUGGUGAAAUGUACCAUAUAAUUAUAAUGAUGUAUUUAAUGUAAAAUUUAACAUGUAAACAUGUAAUAAUUGAAUGUAAUGUAAUAAUUGAUAUAUGUAAAAUUUGUAAUCAUAGGAAAGUGCUUGAACUAAUGGAGGAAGUUUGAGUUAAUUUUUCUCAUUUUAGACGGGAAAAAUCAACUUUUAAAGGGGGAGAUGUAGUAAGCAAGCUACUACUUAAUAGUAAAACAAAUCCCACGGGUACAUAAUCAUACUAUACUAUAAUUUAGAUACUGUAAUUCGGCAUAUAUCGGAUAAUAGAAACGGAAAUAAGGGUUCCUUCUAUUUAUUAAAUAAUAUUACAUUUUAAUGUCUUGUUUGGGAAACGGAUAUUGGAAACUCAUUGAACCAUAUAAUUGCUCUGUAUACCACAAUGUUCAAAGUAUAAAAAUAUGAAACAGUAGAAUGAUUAUUUUUAUUACAACACUGUACGCAACGAUAGUCAUUAUAAAAAAAUAUUAAAAUUAUAUUAAAAAUGAUUAUAUCAAAUCGAAUACACAUAAUUAUACUGGAAGUCAUAAAAUGCGUGGGCCGGAACGAUGGUCACACACAUCACAUCCGUGAGUCGAGAUACAGUAGCUAUAGGCAAGGGGUACGGGGAACUUCAUAUAUAAGGGAGCCCGAAUCGGCCUGUUUUCAGACGUGUACUACCACCCAUUAGUGCAAGCACCUUCACGCCACUCUGUACGAGCAUUAUUUUGGACUUAGAAAAUUAUCAACAAUAUAA